UACGUAGGCAGCAAGCGUUGUUCGGAAUUACUGGGCGUAAAGAGUGUGUAGGCGGUGCUCUAAGUUCGGUGUGAAAUCUCCCGGCUUAACUGGGAGGGUGCGCCGGAAACUGGAGUGCUCGAGCGUGGGAGAGGAAAGCGGAAUUCCUGGUGUAGCGGUGAAAUGCGUAGAUAUCGUAAGGAAGACCAGUGGCGAAGGCGGGUCUCUGGACAGUUCCUGACGCUGAGGCAC
rnacentral:rRNA from 1 species